AUUCAAAUAGCUUAUAUAAAGAGCAUAGCAUUGAAGAUGCUGGGGAGAUCUAAGAUCUUUGGAUA
rnacentral:tRNA from 1 species